GAGGGUAUAGCUCAAGUGGUAGAGUGCAUGCUUAGCAGGCAUGAGGUCCUGAGUUCAUUCCCCAGCACCUCCA
rnacentral:tRNA from 1 species